CUUAAGACAUGUUCAUCAUUAAUCCCGUCACUGCCCGGCGAGUCCUUCGCAAAAGCAAGCGCCAGUGUACUGGAUACAGCCGGUAUCUUUACAUAAAAUCUUCUUGAAUGCAUUGUGGUCUUCUACCUUUUACUUCGCCGCUGGACGGACGACAGCGUAAACAUAGGGCAAGAGAAUGGUGACGUUAAAA